GGCCAGUUCAGAAAUUGGUUACUGAAAUGGGUACCUAUGCAACUCAGAGUGCCCUUAGCAGUUCUAGACCCACCAAGAAAGAGGAAGACAGACCUCCCUUGAGAGGAUUCCUUCUGGAUGGAGAUUUCUUUGUUGCUGCCUCCCUUGCCACAACUCUGACCAAGAUUGCAUUGCGCUAUGUAGCUUUGGUUCAGGAGAAGAAAAAGCAAAAUGUAAGUUCAUUUAUUUUACAUUUAACCAACAAUUAAACAUUGAGUGCCUACUAUAUGCAUUGAACAGUGAGGGACUCAAAAAUUAAUGCUAAGUUUCUGUCAUGAAAGAGUUUAUGAUUUAAUAGCAGAAGUGGACACAGUAAUAUAUUACUCUAAAAUUGAUAAAGUAUCUUCCUCUUCUGUUUGGGCUUUAAAAAAAUGAAAAUUGACAAAGUAAUACAAUAACAAUGUCAUGUGAUUAUUCCAGUGGAAGAGAAAGGAUUUAUGAAGUCACCUCAGUUUGCUGGGAUUAGUUCAGGACCAGUGAAGGAAAUGUCCUUCUCUCCAGCAUCUGCAUCCAUUCGGUCAUUGUCUGUUUUAUCCCAGAAUGUCUCUUAAGUUAUUCUCAUCUGUAGUUCAUGCCUGCUUUGUAGCUUCUGACCGUUCUAACCAAACACCCAUUUACAAUGGUAUGCAGUUGGUCCUCCAUAUUCACAGCUUCUGCA
rnacentral:lncRNA from 10 species